AACGGACGCUGGCGGCAGGCCUAACACAUGCAAGUCGAGCGAGACCUUCGGGUCUAGCGGCGGACGGGUGAGUAACGCGUGGGAACGUGCCCUUUGCUACGGAAUAGCCCCGGGAAACUGGGAGUAAUACCGUAUGUGCCCUUCGGGGGAAAGAUUUAUCGGCAAAGGAUCGGCCCGCGUUGGAUUAGGUAGUUGGUGGGGUAAUGGCCUACCAAGCCGACGAUCCAUAGCUGGUUUGAGAGGAUGAUCAGCCACACUGGGACUGAGACACGGCCCAGACUCCUACGGGAGGCAGCAGUGGGGAAUCUUAGACAAUGGGGGAAACCCUGAUCUAGCCAUGCCGCGUGAGCGAUGAAGGCCUUAGGGUUGUAAAGCUCUUUCAGGUGGGAAGAUAAUGACGGUACCACCAGAAGAAGCACCGGCUAACUACGUGCCAGCAGCCGCAGUAA
rnacentral:rRNA from 1 species